rnacentral:sRNA from 1 species
AUGUUACUUUUACUAAGUUAAGAAAAGUUAGGAAGAAGCUGAAUUCAUUUUUACUCUAAUGGUUAAGAACUAUUGGAUUCCUAAAAAACAACAAUUCAAACUGUUUCAAAACAAUGUCUACCCACUCAAAACACAACACAUAUACUCUUCUUAGUUUUAAGAAAACAUCUUAACUAAGAU